rnacentral:rRNA from 1 species
GACUUGACAUCUCCUGAAUUACUCUUAAUCGAGGAAGUCCCUUCGGGGACAGGAAGACAGGUGGUGCAUGGUUGUCGUCAGCUCGUGUCGUGAGAUGUUGGGUUAAGUCCCGCAACGAGCGCAACCCUUAUUGUUAGUUGCUACUAUUAAGUUAAGCACUCUAACGAGACUGCCGCGGUUAACGUGGAGGAAGGUGGGGAUGACGUCAAAUCAUCAUGCCCCUUAUGUCUAGGGCUACACACGUGCUACAAUGGCUGGUACAACGAGCAGCAAACCCGCGAGGGGGAGCAAAACUUGAAAGCCAGUCCCAGUUCGGAUUGUAGGCUGAAACUCGCCUACAUGAAGUUGGAGUUGCUAGUAAUCGCGAAUCAGCAUGUCGCGGUGAAUACGUUCCCGGGUCUUGUACACACCGCCCGUCACACCAUGAGAGCCGGUAACACCCGAAGCCCGUGAGGUAACCGUAAGGAGCCAGCGGUCGAAGGGGGGAUUGGUGAUUGGGGUGAAGUCGUAACAAGGUAGCCGUAGGAGAACCUGCGGCUGGAUCACCUCCUUUCUAGGGA